AUACCUGUGUCAUAUCUUUACAGUGCUCUAGUUACUUGUUAAAAAAUAUGGUUCAACCAUGAUGUCACUAACAAGUGACAUCACUACUCCCGGAGAAUUCAGCGUGGCUCCAGUUUCAUGUCUCAAUCCUAACACCGCGCGCAGUGCAAUCGAUGGGAUCAUUGGGAUGAAAUGCGUAUGACGCAUACAGGUUGAGGAUUUCCUUCCCACACGAAAGUCUGACGUCUACCCCUCCACACAUUUAACUUUGACAACACGCGAAACCUUGUAGUAUGGUGGGCACCCGACAGGCUCCUUACACGACUUCGCCUUUGCGCAUGAUACUGCGGUUCCGACGCCACUUCACGCUCCAACUCACCUUGAAACUCGGUGCUCUCAGAUUUUACAUGGAGAGCGACGGAGAGGCGACCAAUACCCGCCCCGACGCCUCCCCCACUGGCCAAUGAAUUUCGAGCGGGGGCGGAGCUAACAGCUAAAUUGUCAUGCUUGGUUUCACGCUGGCAUUGCCAUCAAGCCGCGUCUGGCUGCCGUGCGCUGGUGCAGGUGCUCUAUUUCAUCGAGAGAGGAUGCGAAAGGAAAGAAGGGGAGGGAAAGAAUGAAGGGAACCGUCGGAGAAAAGUAUGCAGGGCAUGAAUAAAAGGGUAUCAGCUGCUGACAGUGUGUCUAACAUCCAGGGGCUCGGCUAAGAAUGAUUUAUUGAAAGGGGCACUUUGAGAUAUGAUGAGGUUUCUUUCUGGUUGGCAAUAGUACUAUGAUUUGGUAUGUGGCCACUUUGAUAGCAAGUGUAUUCAGCACCAGAGGAACAGCUGCUCAAGGUGCCCACGGAGUCAGAGAGGAGCCCCAGUUUGUGACGGCCCGCGCUGGGGAGACCGUGAUUCUGGGAUGUGACGUGGCCCACCCACUCAACGGCCAGCCCUACGUGGUGGAGUGGUUCAAGUUUGGAGUUCCCAUCCCCUUCUUCAUCAACUUCCGCUUCUACCCUCCCCAUGUGGACCCCGAGUAUGCCGGUCGAGCCAGCCUGCAUGGCAAGUCAUCUCUACGUAUUGAGAGGGUUCGCUCGGAAGACCAGGGCUGGUACGAGUGCAAGGUCCUGAUGCUGGAGCAACAGUAUCACACCUUUCACAACGGCAGCUGGGUGCACCUCACUGUCAAUGCUCCCCCAACAUUCACGGACACGCCACCGCAGUAUGUGGAGGCCAAAGAGGGGGGCAGCAUCACUCUGAGCUGUACGGCCUUCGGCAAUCCCAAACCUUCAGUCAGCUGGCUCAGGGAGGGAGAGCCCGUACAGGACAGCAGCAAGUACAAGGUGAGUGAUGGCAGCUUGACACUUGUUUCCAUCAGCCGUGAGGACAGGGGAGCGUACACAUGCCGAGCGUACAGCGAGCAGGGAGAGGCCAUCCAUACCACACGCUUACUCGUCCAAGGACCCCCAUUUAUUGUCUCACCGCCAGAGAACAUAACUGUAAACAUAUCCCAGGAUGCAUUCUUCACUUGUCAGGCUGAGGCAUAUCCUGGCAACCUAACGUACACCUGGUUCUGGGAGGAAGAUAACGUCUUCUUCAAGAAUGAUCUAAAGCGCAGAGUGAGUAUUCUGAUCGACGGUUCGCUCAUCAUCUCCCAGGUGAAACCUGAGGAUGCUGGUAGAUACACCUGCAGCCCGAGUAACAGCCUUGGCCGCCCACCUUCUGCAUCAGCAUACCUGACAGUGCAUUACCCUGCCCGUGUGAUAAACAUGCCGCCCGUUAUUUACGUGGCCAUCGGACUGCCGGGGUACAUCCGCUGCCCGGUGGAUGCCAACCCGCCUGUCACUUCAGUGAAGUGGAAAAAAGAUGGCCUGCCUCUGCGGAUAGAGAAGUACCCUGGCUGGAGCCAAAUGGAAGAUGGGAGCAUUCGAGUGUCUGAGGUGACAGAGGACUCUCUCGGCACCUACACCUGCGUGCCUUACAAUAGCCUCGGUACAAUGGGACAGUCCCCUCCCGCCCCCCUGGUGCUAAAGGACCCACCCAAAUUUCUGGUGGUUCCUGGAGGGGAGUACAGGCAGGAGGCUGGUCGAGAGCUGGUCAUCCCCUGUGAGGCAGAAGGAGACCCAUACCCCAACAUUACAUGGAGAAAGGUAGGGAAGCCCAGCAGAAGCAAGCACAACGUCCUACCAAGAGGCAGCUUACAGUUCAAAUCUCUCAGCAAGGAGGACCACGGGGAGUGGGAGUGUGUCGCCUCCAAUGUCGCCACGAGCAUCACUGCCAGCACGCACCUCCUAGUAAUCGGCACAAGCCCACACGCCCCCGCCAAAGUCCACGUUUCGGUCUCGACGACCUCGGCCAACGUCUCGUGGGAAUCUGGUUACGAUGGCGGCUUUGAGCAGACAUUCUCAGUCUGGUACGGCCAUGUGGUAAAGAGGGAGCAGUUAGGACCGCAUGACUGGCUGUCCAUGCCUGUGCCCAGCGGGCAGCACUGGCUCCUGGUGCAAGGCCUGGAGCCCGAGACGGCCUACCAAUUCAGCGUCCUGGCCCAGAACAAGCUGGGGACGGGCCCGUUCAGCGAGGUCGUCACUGUGAACACUCUAGUAUUUCCUAUAAGUACCCCAGAACCACUGGUGCUGCUUACCCCACCACGGUGCCUCACAGCCAACCGGACACAGCAGGGAGUCCUACUCACAUGGAUCCCUCCAGCCAAUCACACUUCGCCAAUUGAUCACUACAUCAUGGAGUUCCGCCUCGGGGAGAGGUGGGAUGUUCUUGAUGAUGCAAUCCCUGCUGGAGAGACAGAGCUCCUGGCUAGAGACCUGGUUCAGGAGGCCUGGUAUGAGUUCAGAGUGAUGGCAGUUAUGGAGGACCUUGUCAGUGAGCCUAGUAAUGUAGUGGGAGUCUCUAGCACAGACUACUUCCCGCCGCCUGAGGUGCCAGACGAGGGACUGGCGCGGCCGGUGGUGGCAGGCAUUGUGGCCACCAUCUGUUUCCUGGCAGCAGCCAUCCUCUUCAGCACGCUAGCAGCCUGCUUCGUCAACAAACAGAGACGGCGUAAGCUCAAGAGGAGACGAGAUCCCCCUUUGUCUAUAACACACUGCAGAAAGAGCGUGGAGACGCCGAGUCCUCUUACCCCUCUACCUGGCAUAGAACCCUACUGGGAAGGCCAGGAAAGGAGCAGCUACAGGCCUCCGCCCUCCAGUCCUCUGUCAUCUUCUGGAAAGAUUAGUCCAGAAAGCGUCCGCUCCAUAGGACCUCCUUCAGAGUCCUCAGAGGAUGGUUUACGGGCUAAGAAGUUUCCUCAAAGUCCCGCCAAGGAAAAGGAGCUGUCCUUAUACAAGAAGACCAAGAGAGCAAUAAUUAGCAAGAAAUACAGUGUCUCUAAGCAUGAGGCGGAGGCUACCACUCCAAUUGAAUUGAUCAGUCGUGGCCCAGAUGGGCGCUUUGUCAUGGAUCCUACAGAUAUGGAAACUCCAGUUAAGGCACGGCGCAUUGAGGGCUUUCCCUUUGUGGAGGAGUCUGACCUGUACCCUGAAUUUCGACAGUCAGAUGAGGAGAAUGACGAUCCGGGGCCCAUGCCACCUGUGAUGGCUACCCUCAGACCCCAUCAGAUCUCCCCCAUUUCUUCUAGCCAGGAGUCUUACUUGCAGCCCCCAGCCUACAGUCCCCGCUUCCAGAGGCCCAUGGAAGGCAUGACUAUCAUGGAAACCAGUCGACUCCAGGCUACAGGGCAGAUCCGCGGUGCUCCUCACUUCCGAGCCUUUUCCCAUGGCCAGUUCUACAGCUAUUUGGGAAGUCCAGGGGAACCUGAGCCUCCUCCCCCCUUCUACAUGCCGGACACCAGCCCUCUCAGCUCAGUAAUGUCUUCUCCUCCUUACCACCUGGAGGGACCUUUUGGCCAUCCCACCAUCCCGGAGGAAAUCGGUGAGGGAGAGAUUCAGCAUUAUGCAGUCUCUGGCUACACCCUUCCCUUGGCGCAUCCCUCCACCUCGCGCUCUCCAGACAUCUGGCAACGACCCGAUUUCACCUUUGCCACAAUUGAGGGUCCUCACUUUAUUUUUCCACCCCCACACCCUUUGCAUCUUCAUCCGGAACCUCCCCUUCCUCCCCCUCUUGUUCUUCCACCUAGUGCCCUCCAGCCCUCCACCCUUCAAGUAUCUCCUUAUCCUGGUAUCCUGCAGCUGGAGGCUCCAAAGAGCCGCCCCAGCAAGUCUCCCAGCAAGGUCAAGCCUCAGGGCCUUCCAGCCAAGCGUUUACCUAUGCAAGAGGCACAGAGUCUAGGGCAGCUAAGACACACAAGCCACGGUAUGGGUGUACCGGUAUUGCCUUACCCUGACCCAGUGUCUCACAUGGUUGGCCCAAGCUCAUUCGGAAGCCUGGAUACCCGAUGGUACGAGCUUACACCCAGGCUUAGCCCCAGGCAGCCCCGUAGGAUGGAACCCAGCAUGGUUGUUCUCCAACCAUCCCGCCUCUCACCUCUAACUCAGAGCCCUAUUAGCUCUCACGAAGGCUCACCAGAGAUUGUAGUACGCCCCAGGCCCCGUCCAAGUGUCAUCCAACCCCCAAUCCCUCCUGAGAUGUCUGAGAUCACCCUUCAACCUCCUUCUUCAGUUAGCUUCUCUAGGAGGUCCUCCCCUUCCUCCUCACCUGCUCAAGGCCAAGGUAGUCGAAGGGCAAGUCCCAGCUACCGAUCCCACAUGGCAUUUGCCACCUCAGCGGCAAGCUAUCCGUCACAGUCCCCUUCACCUCCUGUUGAAAGCAGCAACAUUUUUGGGCAGAUGCCAACCCAGAGGAGGACUGAGGAGGAGAUCCUUCCAUCAGAACCCUCUCCACCCCAGUUAUCAGCUUCAGGCUAUCUGGGCAGCGUUGUUGUGACCAGGUCCUCUACACCGCAAUAGGUAAGGGUUGGAUCCAUGUCUGAAAGGGGGGGGGCAGCAGGUGGGGCUUUUAUUCACCUCGUCCUUUAAAGGGGAAUACAAGUCUUUGGGUCUUGCUUUCCUUUUGUUUAUUACCAAGUUUCCUGUUUUUUUUUUUUGUUUUGUUUUUUGUUUUGUUUGUUUGUUUGUUUGUUUUAAUUUUCAGAUAGCCACACAUUUAAGUUCUGCAGUCUUGAAGCCUAUAUGCAUUCUGGUCUUAGUAUGCAUAUGUACAUUUCCCAGUUAUUGAUUAGGAAGCCCAGCACAUACCAUUUGGUCAACACAACCUCAUGCUUGAGACACAAUACAAAAAAUAAAAUAUCAACAGCUUGAAUAUCGAUUUUGUGAGAAGCUGCCAUUUAAAAAGUCCUCAUGGUUUGAGAUUCAUGGUAACCUUCAUGGUAUACUUUCUGUCUAUAUAUAUAAAAAAAGUGCUUUAAAAAAUUAUAGUAAAUGACAGUACAAACACUACUUGCAGAGGCCGGGAAUUUUAGUUCGAUCCUGGAUAAAGGUGACCAGUCGUUAGGGACCGUCUCAAGCAAGAGUUGCAUGUUACACUUCAUUUCAGGUAGGUGCUUUUUAUUGCUUGAAACAGAAUUCAAGUGAUUUAAAAUCCAUUAGCCUUUUACAGACACCUUAUAUGAUUAAAUGCAACACUUUUUUUGUAUAAUCAUGAUUGAUCUAUAGUGUAUAUGCAGUGUAUGCAUAAAACUGCACUUGUUUUGUGUAAGUUUGGACUGCAGAACACAUUUCACAAUCAUGUGAAGCAAGUUUUCUUCCAAAACAAUUCCUGCACUUCCUUUACAACGGGGAAAGUUCUAUUGACACUAGAAAAUGCUUCUUUUUAAGUUGUGUCUUUCACCCAAUGAAGUGCUUUUCCGGAGUAUUCCCCUUUAAAGUUCUGUUCCAUGUGCAAAAUGCCAUGCAUGCCAUUGCUAAAUAUUGCUCUUCAGUUGAAAAACCAACAAAUAUCUGAUUAAAUUCUUGUUACAUUUGUUGUCCGAGUGCUUUGUUUUAUUUUUCAUUAUGUGACUGUUCCCAAGUAGCCAUUUUUCCCUCCCGCCAUCUCUCCCCCUGUCAGCAUGGUGAAGCCCAUUGUAGACAGUAUUCAUGUCUAUGAGCACAUUUCUGACAAUGCUUUGUCGCUAAGCUGUGAUUUUCCCCCUCUACUAAUGGCCUUUAAUUUCUCUCGGCAGCCUCAGCAGAAGGACGGCCCCUCUAUAAUGCUAUUUCUGUUAUUUUGUCGUGCCUCGUGAGAGCUGUGUGUGUGCGAACGUGUGUGUGUGUGUGUGUGUGUGUGUGUGUGUGUGGGGCAGAGUAUGCGGGCUGCCGGUUUAAGUGCCUCCAUACUGUAUUUGGAUGGGAAGACUGUACAAACUAAACUGUCUGAGAAUGGAUUUAUAAAGCAUGUAUUUAAGUAUGCUAAUCUACUGGAAUUACCCCAAUCUAUGUCAUGAUUUCUCAAAAUUUCUCUUUAAACAGAUACAUACAUUAUGUUGCCAUAUUGAGAAAACGUCGAGGUGCACCAAGUGGCUCUGCAGGGUCUGAGAGGAUAGAAGCACUGAGAUAUCAACGAGUGAAAAAAGCCAAGAAAGCCGGAAUCAACAAUAACAACUCCAAGACCAGACGAAAGACAGGUG